AGCGCAGGCGGUUUGAUAAGUCUGAAGUUAAAGGCUGUGGCUCAACCAUAGUUCGCUUUGGAAACUGUCAAACUUGAGUGCAGAAGGGGAGAGUGGAAUUCCAUGUGUAGCGGUGAAAUGCGUAGAUAUAUGGAGGAACACCGGUGGCGAAAGCGGCUCUCUGGUCUGUAACUGACACUGAGGCUGAAAGCGUGGGGAGCAAACA
rnacentral:rRNA from 1 species